GGCGGCGUGCCUAACACAUGCAAGUCGAGCGAGGAGAUCCUUCGGGAUGAUCCUAGCGGCGGACGGGUGAGUAACACGUGGGCAACCUGCCUCAUAGAGAGGAAUAGCCUUCCGAAAGGGAGAUUAAUACCUCAUAACAUUGCAGUUUCGCAUGGAACAGCAAUUAAAGGAGUAAUCCGCUAUGAGAUGGGCCCGCGGCGCAUUAGCUAGUUGGUGAGGUAAUGGCUCACCAAGGCGACGAUGCGUAGCCGACCUGAGAGGGUGAUCGGCCACAUUGGGACUGAGACACGGCCCAGACUCCUACGGGAGGCAGCAGUGGGGAAUAUUGCACAAUGGGGGAAACCCUGAUGCCAGCAACGCCGCGUGAGUGAUGACGGCCUUCGGGUUGUAAAGCUCUGUCUUCAGGGACGAUAAUGACGGUACCUGAGGAGGAAGCCACGGCUAACUACGUGCCAGCCGCCGC
rnacentral:rRNA from 1 species